rnacentral:pre_miRNA from 1 species
AAAGUACUCCCUCCGUCCCAAAAUUCUUGUCUUAGAUUUCUCUAGAUAUAGAUGUAUCAAGUCACAUUUUAGUAUUAGAUACAUCAGUAUCUAGACAAAUCUAAGACAAGAAAUUUGGGACAGAGGGAGUAGUUG